UACAGAGGGUGCUAGCGUUGUUCGGAAUCAUUGGGCGUAAAGGGUAGGUAGGUGGUCUCAUUUGUCUGGGGUGAAAGCCCAGGGCUUAACCCUGGAAGUGCCCCGGAAACGGUGAGACUGGAGUAUUGGAGAGGGUCGUGGAAUUCCCGGUGUAGCGGUGAAAUGCGUAGAGAUCGGGAGGAACACCAGAGGCGAAGGCGGCGACCUGGACAAUUACUGACACUCAACUACGAAAGCGUGGGGAGCAAACAGG
rnacentral:rRNA from 1 species